rnacentral:rRNA from 1 species
GAUGAACGCUGGCGGCGUGCCUAAUACAUGCAAGUCGAGCGAACAGACGAGGAGCUUGCUCCUCUGACGUUAGCGGCGGACGGGUGAGUAACACGUGGAUAACCUACCUAUAAGACUGGGAUAACUUCGGGAAACCGGAGCUAAUACCGGAUAAUAUAUUGAACCGCAUGGUUCAAUAGUGAAAGACGGUUCUGCUGUCACUUAUAGAUGGAUCCGCGCCGCAUUAGCUAGUUGGGAAGGUAAGGGCUUACCUAGGCAACGAUGCGUAGCCGUCCCGAGAGGGUGAUCAGCCACUCUGGUGCGGAGACACGUUCCAGACUCCUGCGGGAGGCACCAGCAAGGAAUCUUCCGGAAGGGGCGGUAGCCUGUCGUAGCCAAGCCGCGUAAGUUUUAAGGGUCUACGGAUCGUAGAGCUCGAUGGUUAGGGAAGAACAAAUGUGUAUGCACCUAGGCACGUCUUGACGGUACCUUGUCAAAGAGGCACGGCUUACUACGUU